GGCCUUGGCCUUAAAAUGAUUUGGCCUGCCCAAUGAUCAUUUUAAUGGCUGCAGUAUUUUGACUGUACAAAGGUAGCAUAAUCAUUUGUCUUUUAAUUGAAGUCUGGUAUGAAUGGUUGGAUGAGGAAUUUACUUUCUUUAUUUUAAAAAUUAAAUUUAAUUUUUGAGUCAAAAAGCUUAAGUUUAUUUAAAGGACGAGAAGACCCUAUAGAACUUUACUUUUCUUUUUAUAGGUUUAUUUUUUGUAAGUAAUUUUUUACUAUUUUGGGAAAAGUUUUAUUGGGGUGAUAAAAAAAAAUUUUUAACUUUUUUUAUUUUUCUCAUUUAUUUAUGAUUUUUUGAUCCUUUAUUAUGGAUAAUAAGAUUAAGUUACCUUAGGGAUAACAGCGUUAUUAUUUUAGAGAGUUCAUAUCGAUAAAAUAGUUUGCGACCUCGAUGUUGGAUUAAAAUUAGUGUCAGGUGCAGAAUAUUGAUUACUGGGUCUGUUCGACCCUUAAUUUUUUACAUGAUCUGAGUUCAGCGCGC
rnacentral:rRNA from 1 species